rnacentral:rRNA from 1 species
GAUGAACGCUGGCGGCGUGCCUAAUACAUGCAAGUCGAGCGAACAGACGAGGAGCUUGCUCCUCUGACGUUAGCGGCGGACGGGUGAGUAACACGUGGAUAACCUACCUAUAAGACUGGGAUAACUUCGGGAAACCGGAGCUAAUACCGGAUAAUAUAUUGACCCGCAUGGUUCAUUAGUGAAAGACGGUUUUGCUGUCCCUUAUAGAUGGAUCCGCGCCGCAUUAGCUAGUUGGUAAGGUAACGGCUUACCAAGGCAACGAUGCGUAGCCGACCCGAGAGGGUGAUCGGCCACACUGGAACUGAGACACGGUCCAGACUCCUACGGGAGGCAGCAGUAGGGAAUCUUCCGCAAUGGGCGAAAGCCUGACGGAGCAACGCCGCGUGAGUGAUGAAGGUCUUCGGAUCGUAAAACUCUGUUAUUAGGGAAGAACAAAUGUGUAAGUAACUAUGCACGUCUUGACGGUACCUAAUCAGAAAGCCACGGCUAACUACGUG